ACGAACGCUGGCGGCGUGCCUAAUACAUGCAAGUCGAACGCUUCUUUUUCCAUCGGAGCUUGCUCCACCGGAAAAAGAGGAGUGGCGAACGGGUGAGUAACACGUGGGUAACCUGCCCAUCAGAAGGGGAUAACACUUGGAAACAGGUGCUAAUACCGUAUAACAAUCGAAACCGCAUGGUUUUGAUUUGAAAGGCGCUUUCGGGUGUCGCUGAUGGAUGGACCCGCGGUGCAUUAGCUAGUUGGUGAGGUAACGGCUCACCAAGGCGACGAUGCAUAGCCGACCUGAGAGGGUGAUCGGCCACAUUGGGACUGAGACACGGCCCAAACUCCUACGGGAGGCAGCAGUAGGGAAUCUUCGGCAAUGGACGAAAGUCUGACCGAGCAACGCCGCGUGAGUGAAGAAGGUUUUCGGAUCGUAAAACUCUGUUGUUAGAGAAGAACAAGGAUGAGAGUAACUGUUCAUCCCUUGACGGUAUCUAACCAGAAAGCCACGGCUAACUACGUGCCAGCAGCCGCGGUAAUACGUAGGUGGCAAGCGUUGUCCGGAUUUAUUGGGCGUAAAGCGAGCGCAGGCGGUUUCUUAAGUCUGAUGUGAAAGCCCCCGGCUCAACCGGGGAGGGUCAUUGGAAACUGGGAGACUUGAGUGCAGAAGAGGAGAGUGGAAUUCCAUGUGUAGCGGUGAAAUGCGUAGAUAUAUGGAGGAACACCAGUGGCGAAGGCGGCUCUCUGGUCUGUAACUGACGCUGAGGCUCGAAAGCGUGGGGAGCAAACAGGAUUAGAUACCCUGGUAGUCCACGCCGUAAACGAUGAGUGCUAAGUGUUGGGAGGUUUCCGCCUCUCAGUGCUGCAGCUAACGCAUUAAGCACUCCGCCUGGGGAGUACGACCGCAAGGUUGAAACUCAAAGGAAUUGACGGGGGCCCGCACAAGCAGUGGAGUAUGUGGUUUAAUUCGAAGCAACGCGAAGAACCUUACCAGGUCUUGACAUCCGAUGCAUAGCUUAGAGAUAAGUGAAGUCCUUCGGGACAUCGAGACAGGUGGUGCAUGGUUGUCGUCAGCUCGUGCCGUGAGGUGUCGGCUUAAGUGCCAUAACGAGCGCAACCCCUAUCGACAGUUACUAACGGGUGAAGCCGAGGACUCUGUCGAGACUGCCGGCGCAAGCCGCGAGGAAGGUGGGGAUGACGUCAAAUCAUCAUGCCCCUUAUGACCUGGGCUACACACGUGCUACAAUGGGAAGUACAACGAGUCGCAAAGUCGCGAGGCUAAGCUAAUCUCUUAAAGCUUCUCUCAGUUCGGAUUGUAGGCUGCAACUCGCCUACAUGAAGCCGGAAUCGCUAGUAAUCGCGGAUCAGCACGCCGCGGUGAAUACGUUCCCGGGCCUUGUACACACCGCCCGUCACACCACGAGAGUUUGUAACACCCGAAGUCGGUGAGGUAACCUUUUGGAGCCAGCCGCCUAAGGUGGGAUAGAUGAUUGGGGUG
rnacentral:rRNA from 1 species